CAGGAAGGAGGAGGCAGCCAGAGUGUUCUCUGCAGCAGAAGACCCCUUGCUGCACUGCUUAACCCAGACCAGCAUUUGCCAGGGUUUGGUUCUGAAGAUGCUGCAAGGAUGCAGACUUUGAGGCAUGAUAUAGGGACACAACCCAUCUUCAUGGAUCAGACACUGCGAAAAAGAACCCUUCACAGAUAGACUGAGGAUGACAAUGACGACGAUGAUGAUGACGACGACUACUACUACUACUUAUAUACCACUUUUCAAUAAAAGUUUGCAAAGCG